rnacentral:rRNA from 1 species
GGAAUAUUGGACAAUGGGCGCAAGCCUGAUCCAGCCAUGCCGCGUGUGUGAAGAAGGCUUUCGGGUUGUAAAGCACUUUCAGUGAGGAGGAAAACCGUGCGAUUAAUACUCGUAUGGCUUGACGUUACUCACAGAAGAAGCACCGGCUAACUCCGUGCCAGCAGCCGCGGUAAUACGGAGGGUGCAAGCGUUAAUCGGAAUUACUGGGCGUAAAGCGCGCGUAGGUGGUUUGAUAAGCGAGAUGUGAAAGCCCCGGGCUUAACCUGGGAACGGCAUUUCGAACUGUCAGGCUAGAGUACGGUAGAGGGUGGUGGAAUUUCCUGUGUAGCGGUGAAAUGCGUAGAUAUAGGAAGGAACACCAGUGGCGAGGGCGACCACCUGGACUGAUACUGACACUGAGGUGCGAAAGCGUGGGGAGCA